UACGUAGGGUGCAAGCGUUAAUCGGAAUUACUGGGCGUAAAGCGUGCGCAGGCGGUUUUGUAAGUUUUGUCGUGAAAAUCCCCCGGGCUCAACCUGGGGAAUGGCGAUGAAGACUGCAAGGCUAGAAUCUGGCAGAGGGGGGGUAGAAUUCCACGUGUAGCAGUGAAAUGCGUAGAGAUGUGGAGGAACACCGAUGGCGAAGGCAGCCCCCCUGGGUCAAGAUUGACGCUCAUGCAC
rnacentral:rRNA from 1 species